rnacentral:tRNA from 4 species
UGGGGAGUAGCCAAGUGGUAAGGCAACGGACUUUGACUCCGUGAUGCGCAGGUUCGAAUCCUGCCUCCCCAGCCA